rnacentral:rRNA from 1 species
AGUGAACGCUGGCGGCAGGCCUAACACAUGCAAGUCGAGCGGCAGCGCGGGGGCAACCCUGGCGGCGAGCGGCGGACGGGUGAGGAAUUCGUCGGAAUCUGCCUUUUUGUGGGGGAUAACGUAGGGAAACUUACGCUAAUACCGCAUACGUCCUACGGGAGAAAGUGGGGGACCGCAAGGCCUCACGCAGAAAGAUGAGCCGACGACCGAUUAGCUAGUUGGUGGGGUAAAGGCCCGCCAAGGCGACGAUCGGUAGCUGGUCUGAGAGGAUGAUCAGCCACACUGGGACUGAGACACGGCCCAGACUCCUACGGGAGGCAGCAGUGGGGAAUAUUGGACAAUGGGCGCAAGCCUGAUCCAGCCAUGCCGCGUGUGUGAAGAAGGCCUUCGGGUUGUAAAGCACUUUUGUCCGGAAAGAAAUCCCUGGAGCUAAUACCUUCGGGGGAUGACGGUACCGGAAGAAUAAGCACCGGCUAACUUCGUG